AAGAGGAGCACAAAGACAUUGAGCAGAUUGCCCGAGGCUACCCAGCUAGUGAGUAGGAACAGGGACUUCAACCCAGCUUAUUGUGUCUUUUGAGAUAUAUUACCUCCCAGUCCUAAUGUGGUUAGAAUUCCCAGAAACCCAGAUCUGUAAAUGUCUGCAUGUGACUAUUCCAGUAGCAGAGCUGCACAUGAGACAGGCAGAAGGAUCAGCAAGUAUCAACUCGGGGACCUGCUAGCCAAACGUGGCACAGUCGAGCACUCUCUAUUUGUUCCUUCACUUUCCAGUUCUGUGGAGCUGUCUUGCCAAUAAAUAAAAGGAGGAAGAUUAAAGGAGAGAAGAUUUAAAGAGUGUGUGAAGAGCAAUUCAAAGUCUAGCACUGUUUCUGGAAAACAAUUUCAAGUUCAAGCCCAGUGAGGCCACUGCCAUGCACAGAAGACAGACAGCACCAUCAGACUGCAUAGUGUUAAAUGAUCGAUUUUUGGACUAUUCAAGCUUUUUAUAUCCAUUAACUCCAAUUAAUUGGAUGGACUUAUCUUCCUUGGUGACUUGGUUUAUCGUGUGAGCCAUUCUGGCAGAAGUUAGACUUCAUGUAACCCCAUAAUGAAUUCCUGUCUAGUAGAUCACUCUAAUAGGCAAAACAUAUCGCAGCUACCCUCUGCCGGCUUCAGAGACUGGGGUCACUAUCAAACUGGUCCCUGGCCCACCUGCUUAAAUGCUGUGGCUCCUAACCACUCUUUGUGACUUUGCUGCAGCUACAGAUAUCAAGAACUCCAGUGGGCCAUGGUACUUCUUGGUCCAUGGCCGAGGGAUUAUGCAAAAGCUACAUCCAUGCAGGAGAUUUCCUUCAUAUUUGGAUAGUUUCAAAGAUAAGAGCAUCUUAUAAUAAAGGGGAAAGAAACUUCAGAAUGUCACAGGCAAAGUCUUAGGAAGUGAAGAUAUAAAGCCAAAAUAGGAGUAAAAUGUUCGUACUUGCCAUGAAGUUAAUUAACAUUCUUACUUGGAAAAAGUCAAGGUCAAACAUAAUUCAUCAAACAUAAUUCAGAGUUACUUGGCUUUAACGGAAGUGAUUCCUCAAGUCUCCCUUCAGGUUUUAAGACUUAUUAUGGAAAGCAUAAUAAAGUGUCCUACGUUUAUACAUCUGCUGAACCAUGUUAUGAAAUCCAGUACACUGUAGGCCCUGGGAUGGGGCAAGGAGCCAUUGUCCCUCUUUGCAGGUGAGAAACUGCAUCUCUGAGGAGCCAGUCACUUAUCCAAAGUGCAUCCUGCUUGGUGUUUCUAGCUGUUACCGUCUUCUGGCUGAGGACCAAUGCAAAACCCCAGUGGUGCCUCUUGUCAAGGCUAGCUGGUGCUCAUGCAGGUAUGACUUAGGUUUUGCAAUGAUGAAGCCAAAGCGCCUUGGAAGCAUUUUCCCUGCCCCGCUAACUAACUUCAUGCCAACUAGUCUGAAGGGUUCUACUCCACAGUUUCCAACAGUGCUUCUUAAGAUUGGAAAACAAAUGUACGGUAGAUGUUACUGCUUAGCUAUUGUCCUUUUAGACCUGUGCACUUUUUAAACCUCAUUUCAGUCUCUCACAUUGCAAAGAAGCUAGGGCAGGGCAAACACAAUAUUAGCUGAGGGGUCAGUAGACUCGAGGCUCAGUCCCGGCUCUUCCACUUGUUGGCAUGGUCUUCACCCCUCCAGACUAGCCUUUGCAUAGGAGUAAGACCUGCCUAUCCUAGCCUUUGCAUGGGAGUAAGGCCUGCCCAUCUCACAGGGACGUAAAGAAAUGAAAUAGCAAGAAGGGUGCAUUACAAAUUGCCAAGCAUUAGAAGUGUCAAAUACUGGAGAGCAACAAACAAAAAGGGAAAGAAUCAGAAACAGAAAGAGAGCAGGUGUGUGUGGUGGGGGAGCACUGCCUUCAGAAUUAAAACUAUGUUACAAGUUGGCUUCAUGCAAAAGCUCAGAAGAAGCUGUGUCCAGUCUUCUGAGGACAAAAUGAGAAUAAAUAUCAAACACAUAUGCCUUUCCCUGUGUUUUUCCUCUUUAAAAUAUACGGGUAACAAAAUUGACCCAGCUCUUAGAACAGGAGAAAGGAAGAGAAACAGAGCAGUUCUAAGAAAAGAUGAAGCAAGCAAAAUACCCCUCAUGUGUGAGUUCAGAACACUUCAAAGAUUGGAAUACAUGACAUUUUGCAAUGGUUGCAAGUGGCAUUCCUUGCAAAGUCCUGUGAAGUGGGGCUUGCUGCCUCCCCACUGUAGGAAUGUAGGUUCACAGUCAUGAGGGCCAUAUAGCAUGCUCCGAUGCCAACCAGUGCCAACAGGGCAAAGAGGAGGUAGUUCACUCUCUUCCUCUCAAGCUCUCACUCCCACUCAUUUAGAUUCAUGCUACUUUCAUUUUCAUAGUGCUUUAAUGAAUGGGCCUCACUCUGGCUGGCUCACAAGGUCUUGCUAUUCAAAG
rnacentral:lncRNA from 1 species